rnacentral:rRNA from 1 species
GAUGAACGCUGGCGGCGUGCUUAACACAUGCAAGUCGAACGAAGCACCUUGAUUUGAUUCUUCGGAUGAAGAUCUUGGUGACUGAGUGUCGGACGGGUGAGUAACGCGUGGGUAACCUGCCUCAUACAGGGGGAUAACAGCUAGAAAUGACUGCUAAUACCGCAUAAGACCACAGCACCGCAUGGUGCAGGGGUAAAAACUCCGGUGGUAUGAGAUGGACUCGCGUCUGAUUAGGUAGUUGGUGGGGUAACGGCCUACCAAGCCGACGAUCAGUAGCCGACCUGAGAGGGUGACCGGCCACAUUGGGACUGAGACACGGAGCAAACUCCUACGGGAGGAAGCAGUGGGGAAUAUUGCACAAUGGGGGAAACCCUGAUGCAGCGACGCCGCGUGAGCGAUGAAGUAUUUCGGUAUGUAAAGCUCUAUCAGAAGGGAAGAAAAUGACGGUACCUGACUAAGAAGCACCGGCUAAAUACGUG